AACGAACGCUGGCGGCAUGCCUAACACAUGCAAGUCGAACGAGACCUUCGGGUCUAGUGGCGCACGGGUGCGUAACGCGUGGGAACCUGCCCUUAGGUUCGGAAUAACUCCCCGAAAGGGGUGCUAAUACCGGAUAAUGUCUUCGGACCAAAGAUUUAUCGCCUUUGGAUGGGCCCGUGUUGGAUUAGCUAGUUGGUAGGGUAAAAGCCUACCAAGGCGACGAUCCAUAGCUGGUCUGAGAGGAUGAUCAGCCACACUGGGACUGAGACACGGCCCAGACUCCUACGGGACGCAGCAGUGGGGAAUAUUGGACAAUGGGCGAAAGCCUGAUCCAGCAAUGCCGCGUGAGUGAUGAAGGCCUUAGGGUUGUAAAGCUCUUUUACACGGGAUGAUAAUGACAGUACCGGGAGAAUAAGCUCCGGCUAACUCCGUG
rnacentral:rRNA from 1 species